CCUACGGGUGGCUGCAGUGGGGAAUAUUGGACAAUGGGGGCAACCCUGAUCCAGCCAUGCCGCGUGUGUGAAGAAGGCCCUCGGGUUGUAAAGCACUUUCAGUGAGGAAGAACGCCUGGUGGUUAAUACCCAUCAGGAAAGACAUCACUCACAGAAGAAGCACCGGCUAACUCCGUGCCAGCAGCCGCGGUAAUACGGAGGGUGCGAGCGUUAAUCGGAAUUACUGGGCGUAAAGCGCGCGUAGGUGGCUUGAUAAGCCGGUUGUGAAAGCCCCGGGCUCAACCUGGGAACGGCAUCCGGAACUGUCAAGCUAGAGUGCAGGAGAGGAAGGUAGAAUUCCCGGUGUAGCGGUGAAAUGCGUAGAGAUAGGGAGGAAUACCAGUGGCGAAGGCGGCCUUCUGGACUGACACUGACACUGAGGUGCGAAAGCGUGGGUAGCAAACAGGAUUAGAUACCCGUGUAGUC
rnacentral:rRNA from 1 species